rnacentral:misc_RNA from 1 species
GCUGAGUAAAAAGGUUCAUGUUGGCUGACGACGGUCUUCCAGGACCAUCCCAUGGGAAACGACCCUGUAAGUAUGCAGGUGGUACCAUAACAGGAGAAGGAUAAACAAGAGGCCCGGGAUGCCUUGGAUUUUGGCAAAACCGUCCAUAUUGUAAGUUUUGCCAAUGACUAGCAAAGUCACUGUUAAGUAUAUCAGACCUGUGUCCACCAGAUGCUUCUAUGGAAGUAGCUCCUCUAAUAGCAUGGGAAGUAUUCAGAUUUUCAGUGUGAUCAAGACCCUCAGACAGAUCAAGGUUGUGGCCUAAAUCACGAUUAUCAAAGCAUUCUUCUCUUCCAAAGUGGC